rnacentral:rRNA from 1 species
CUAGCAUAUCAAUAAGCGGAGGAAAAGAAACUAACAAGGAUUCCCCUAGUAACUGCGAGUGAAGCGGGAAAAGCUCAAAUUUAAAAUCUGGCGGUCUCCGGCCGUCCGAGUUGUAGUCUGGAGAAGCGUUUUCCGCGUUGGACCGUGUACAAGUUUCCUGGAACGGAGCGUCAUAGAGGGUGAGAAUCCCGUCUUUGACACGGACCCCAAUGCUUUGUGAUGCGCUCUCAAAGAGUCGAGUUGUUUGGGAAUGCAGCUCAAAAUGGGUGGUGAAUUCCAUCUAAAGCUAAAUAUUGGCGAGAGACCGAUAGCGAACAAGUACCGUGAGGGAAAGAUGAAAAGCACUUUGGAAAGAGAGUUAAACAGUACGUGAAAUUGUUGAAAGGGAAACGCUUGAAGUCAGUCGCGUCGGCCGGGACUCAGCCUUGCAUUCGCUUGGUGUACUUUCCGGUCGACGGGCCAGCAUCAGUUUUGACCGCGAGACAAAGGCGGAGGGAAUGUGGCUCUUUCGGGAGUGUUAUAGCCCUUCGUUGCAUGUCGUGGUUGGGACUGAGGACCGCAGCACGCCUUUAUGGCCGGGGUUCGCCCACGUACGUGCUUAGGAUGCUGGCGUAAUGGCUUUAAACGACCCGUCUUGAAACACGGACCAAGGAGUCUAACAUGCCUGCGAGUGUUCGGGUGGAAAACCCGUGCGCGUAAUGAAAGUGAAAGUUGGGAUCCCUGUCGUGGGGUGCACCGACGCCCGGACCAGACCUUUUGUGACGGAUCUGCGGUAGAGCAUGUAUGUUGGGACCCGAAAGAUGGUGAACUAUGCCUGAAUAGGGUGAAGCCAGAGGAAACUCUGGUGGAGGCUCGUAGCGAUUCUGACGUGCAAAUCGAUCGUCAAAUUUGGGUAUAGGGGCGAAAGACUAAUCGAACCAUCUAGUAGCUGGUUCCUGCCGA